rnacentral:rRNA from 1 species
GUAGGGAAUAUUGGGCAAUGGUCGGAAGACUGACCCAGCCAUGCCGCGUGCAGGAAGACGGCCCUCUGGGUUGUAAACUGCUUUUAUCUGGGAAGAAAAAGGCCAUGCGUGGCAAAUUGCCGGUACCAGAUGAAUAAGCACCGGCUAACUCCGUGCCAGCAGCCGCGGUAAUACGGAGGGUGCGAGCGUUGUCCGGAUUUAUUGUGUUUAAAGGGUGCGUAGGCGGCUGAUUAAGUCAGCGGUGAAAGACUUCGGCUUAACCGGAGCAGUGCCGUUGAUACUGGUUGGCUUGAGUGUCGGAGGGGUACAUGGAAUUGAUGGUGUAGCGGUGAAAUGCAUAGAUACCAUCAGGAACACCGAUAGCGAAGGCAUUGUACUGGCCGACAACUGACGCUGAUGCACGAAAGUGUGGGGAUCGAACAGGAUUAGAUACCCGAGUAGUCC